UGGCGGACGGGUGAGUAACGCGUAAAGAACUUGCCCUUUAGACUGGGAUAACAGAGGGAAACUUCUGAUCAUACUGGAUAAGUUAGUAUAUCGCAUGAUAUGCAAAAUGAAAGCUACGGCACUAAAGGAGAGCUUUGCGUCCUAUUAGCUAGUUGGUAAGGUAAGAGCUUACCAAGGCGAUGAUAGGUAGCCGGCCUGAGAGGGUGGACGGCCACAAGGGGACUGAGAUACGGCCCUUACUCCUACGGGAGGCAGCAGGU
rnacentral:rRNA from 1 species